rnacentral:tRNA from 1 species
GUCUUGUUAGCUCAGCUGGUAGAGCACGUCACUUUUAAUGAUGUGGCCGUUGGUUCGAAUCCAACACAGGACACCA